rnacentral:rRNA from 1 species
GGAUUGACGGACUGAAGGCUCUUUCUCGAUUCCGUGGAAAGUGGUGCAUGGCUGUUUUUGGUUGGUGGAUCGAUCCGUCUGGUUAAUUCCGUUAACGAACGAGACCUCGGCACUCCGAAUAGCGCGGCGGACGUCGCGGCCUCCGGGCCGUCUUCCGCACGAGCUUCUUAGAGGGACCGUCCCCGCCGGGGAAGGAGGUGCGAGGCAACGACAGGUCUGUGAUGCCCUUAGAUGUUCUGGGCCGCACGCGCAUUACACUGACGCGUCCAACGGGUGACUCCCGACCCGAAGGGGCCGGGGAAUCCGCAAGGCGCGUCGUGAUGGGGAUUGAACGUUGCAAUUGUUGUUCACGAACGAGGAAUUCCUAGUAGGCGCGGGUCAUCAACCCGCGCCGAUUACGUCCCUG